GAUGAACGCUAGCGGCAGGCUUAACACAUGCAAGUCGAGGGGUAUUGGUUUUCGGACCAAGAGACCGGCGCACGGGUGCGUAACGCGUAUGCAAUCUACCUUUUGCAGAGGGAUAGCCCAGAGAAAUUUGGAUUAAUACCUCAUAGUAUAGUACUUUGGCAUCAAGGAACUAUUAAAGUCACAACGGCAAAAGAUGAGCAUGCGUCCCAUUAGCUAGUUGGUAAGGUAACGGCUUACCAAGGCUACGAUGGGUAGGGGUUCUGAGAGGGAGAUCCCCCCACACUGGUACUGAGACACGGACCAGACUCCUACGGGAGGCAGCAGUGAGGAAUAUUGGACAAUGGGCGCAAGCCUGAUCCAGCCAUGCCGCGUGCAGGAUGACGGUCCUAUGGAUUGUAAACUGCUUUUAUACAGGAAGAAACACUCCGACGUGUCGGAGCUUGACGGUACUGUAAGAAUAAGGAUCGGCUAACUCCGUGCCAGCA
rnacentral:rRNA from 1 species